UAGGCUACGUAGCUCAGCUGGUUAGAGCACAUCACUCAUAAUGAUGGGGUCACAGGUUCGAAUCCAGGUACCCCAGCCA
rnacentral:tRNA from 1 species